rnacentral:rRNA from 1 species
GCAACUCGCCUGCAUGAAGUCGGAAUUGCUAGUAAUCGUAGGUCAGCAUACUACGGUGAAUACGUUCCCGGGCCUUGUACACACCGCCCGUCACACCAUGGGAGUCGGUAACACCCGAAGUCGGUAGCCUAACCGUAAGGAGGGCGCCGCCGAAGGUGGGAUUGAUGACUGGGGUGAAGUCGUAACAAGGUAUC